AACACCAGGCGAUUCCGGCGAGUUCCGGCGGCCCUCGCCGGAGCGCAGCACACCCACGAGCUCCCCUCGUGACGGUGCUUCCUUUCCUCCGGCUAGAUCUGCUCCUCACGGCCGCAAGCGCUCGCGCGCGACCCAUCCCCGCUGCUAGGGCUUCGGCUGCCCCCAACUCUGGUGAGCCACCCUCCUCCAUGGACGAGGACGACCACCACGGCCGCACAUGGUCGAGCUCACCGUCGUUUCCUCCGGUGCGGUGAUGGGCCAACGAGCUCCGCCUCCACGGCUCCUAGCUCGGCUUCUGUUCUCCAUGGACGAAUCUCAACUGGAAACAGCAAGCCAUCUCAAGGGAGGGGAUUGUCAAGUCACCCCACUUCCAAUCCAUGGAUGCUAUCCACAAGGACCAAGAUGAUGACGACCAGGAUGGAAGGAGCCCACGCCCGACCCCGACGACGGCGGUUUCAUUUGUGUGCCGGCGUCGACCACAACCUCCCUCUCUGUAAUAUGGUUGUGCUUUAUUUUAAUCAAAAGAAGUUCAUCCUCAAUUCACUCUGCUUAUAUCAUAAUUCAGUACCGACUCUUUCGGUCUUUCCUGCCUCCUAGCAUGCUUUUACUCUGCAUCUGCCACG